CGGCUGGCAUUCGCCUCC
rnacentral:snRNA from 1 species